rnacentral:lncRNA from 1 species
CAGAAUCAAAUACACUUGUUCAGGUUGUGCUUGAAUUACUUUGGGAUAUAAUCACCUCAGUGCAUAACAUGUCCUUGUGUUUCUUUGUACUGGAAGUACAGCAGGUGUGACUGAGCAUUCCACAAUUCAGGAUGAAGCUGAUAACUCCUCACUGGUGAAUUCCUGCUGAAAAGAUGGAUAGGAACCACAGAUGCUCAUCUAAAUGUGUUAACACUUAAACACAUUAUCUGUAACACACCAGAGACAAUCACUUAUUUGGCAUGAUGUGUUUCAGUCAAAGAAGGAAGAAGAGAUCAUAAUUCACAACAGGACAGCUGGAAGGACUGCUGAGCCCACUUCCAUUCUCGUGGACACAGUGGCCUGGAAAAAGAACAGAGGAGCUGAGUUUCCUGACAUGACCAAUAUUUUUUUCUCACAAAAUCAAACACAAACAAGGAGAAAAUAGGUAGGGUAGUACCAAAUAAUAAUAAUAAUAAUAAAACAAAUGUCUCUAUGUUCCUUUUGUUUAUA